UACGUAGGUGGCAAGCGUUAUCCGGAAUUACUGGGCGUAAAGCGCACGCAGGCGGUCUUUUAAGUUUGACGUGAAAGCUCCCGGCUUAACUGGGAGAGGUCGUUGAAUACUGGAAGACUUGAGGCAACGAGAGGGGUGUAGAAUUCCCGGUGUAGUGGUGGAAUGCGUAGAUAUCGGGGGGAAUACCAGUGGCGAAAGCGGCACCCUAGCGUUAGCCUGACGCUCAUGUGCGAAAGCGUGGGGAGCGAACGGG
rnacentral:rRNA from 1 species